rnacentral:rRNA from 1 species
UACAGAGGGUGCAAGCGUUGUUCGGAAUUAUUUGGGCGUAAAGGGCGCGUAGGCGGUGCGGUAAGUCUGCAGUGAAAUCUCUGGGCUCAACUCAGAGUCUGCUGUAGAAAACUGCCGUGCUUUGAGUGUGGGGAGAGGGUGAGUGGGAAUUCCCCGGUGUAGCGGGUGAAAAUGCGUAGAUAUCGGGAGGAACACCAAUGGCGAAAGGCAGCUCGCU